GAGGAAGUACCUUAUUUAUCAUUAGAUGCACUGUUUAAUUAUCCAACAAAACCACACAGAUGUUUACAGACAGAAACAGGAACACGGCUUUGCUGAAAAUCCUAUCAGACUUUGAAUCUGCCCUUUUCAUCUUAAGGUAAGCCAGAGGUUUCAGUCUUUAAAGAAGAAUGAGAAUGUGGCUUGUUUAUUGCGAGAACAUAGGUAAUCUGAA
rnacentral:lncRNA from 1 species